CUUCGUUCUACUCAUCCUCGUUGAUUUUGUGAUCGGUUCACUCUUAGAAUGAUGUUAGGAAAUUAAUUUUAGGUUGGUUUGAUUUUAUUCAUGCUAAAGGAUAAAUUAAUUUAUAUAUAUAUGAGUAUUGGUGUAUCAGUUCUGAUUGUUUUUUUUUAAGUUUUUAAUAAUGUAUUUUAUUUUAUUUUUUUUAAGAAAAGAGGACUGAUUAACCGGACUUGUUGUGGGUUGUUGAGACCUGCUAUGACAUAGUUGCAAACAGUUUAAUUAUGAAUUUAAGAGGAGAUUGUAGUCUUUCAGGUGGAAGGAUGAGGGGUAAGGUUGAAGGGGCAGUCGGCUUCGCCGAUGCGGUAGUUGAGGGAUGAUGUGUUUUUAUUUUAUUUUUUAUUUUAUUUUUUAUUUUUUUUCAUUUUAUUUUAUUAUUUUUGGGCUUUGCGAAUUUUCCAGUAAGGACCCAUGUUGUCUGGGGUCAGUUGGCACAUAUACAAGCUGUGUAAGUCUUCUAGCAGGUGAGUGCUUGAUUUUCAAGUUAUGGUAUAUAUAAGUCAUUACUUGAUUAUGGAGUCAAUUAUAGGUUGACUAUUAACAGUGCUUACUUGUAAGGUAACUACUCUAAUGACAUUAAAGUAAUAUAAUGGAAUUGUUAAUUGCAGGUUAGUAAUUAAUUAUCUAUUAAAAAGUUUUCCUUAUCUUGAAAGAAAAUUUAUUAUAGAGGAUAAUGCCAUGUUAAUUGUGUAGGAAAUAAUAAAUGGCUUUGUUCGCGUGUUAAGUUAUUAGCAUAAGACUUUUAAUGGCUUUUAGUUUAUUUAAUUUUUUUUAUAUAUAUUGAUGGUAAUAUGAUAAUUGAUGAUGCAUGUGAUAAUGUAUAUAUCUUUACUUGCAUUAAGUUAAUUGCAUGUUAUGUAUAGAAGUUGUUACCACCAUAUUAAAUAUUUCAAAUAAAUAUUAUUAUUAAUCAUGCAUAUGACAGUAGUAUAUUUAAUUUUUUUUAUAUAUAUUGAUGGUAAUAUGAUAAUUGAUGAUGCAUGUGAUAAUGUAUAUAGCUUUACUUGCAUUAAGUUAAUUGCAUGUUAUGUAUAGAAGUUGUUACCACCAUAUUAAAUAUUUCAAAUAAAUAUUAUUAUUAAUGAUGCAUAUGACGGUAGCUGAGACUUCACUUGUGUUGCAAGUCACUCGUAUGAUACCCAUUGCUGACUUUGAUUAUAUAUCAAUUGUUAUAGUCUAUAAAGUGAUUAUAGUCAUGCAUGUGACUAUAUGUGUAUAUAAACUUAUACAAACUUGAUUAUGAGUGUAUAAUGGAGGACCAUUGUCAGAAUAUGGUCUUAAAAGCACUGUUGUUAGGAUAUGGCUUGCUGAUAAAUAUAUAGGUUGACUAAUAAGUCUAGACUCAUGCGUUUUGUCAUACCAUUGUCAGGAUAUAGUUAUGACCUUAAAUUGUGCUAUUGUCAAGAUAUGACUAUAGUGACUUAUAUACGUAAAUUUUAAUUGGGUACCAUGAUACGAGCUGAGAUCUUGGAAUUGAUGGUUAAGGUUGGCGUAUAUUGCCAGGUCCUCGAUAGUUCUAGACGUAGAGUCAGUUCGUGCUGAACAGAGGCCAGACUUCAUCACUCUUCCGGUGACAUAGACGUAGGACUUCCACUAUGUUUUCGUUAUUAUUUAUUAUUUUUGAGUUAGACAUUUUUUUUUUUUACUUCGUCUUUAGUUGGGAUUUUUUUUUAUUAGGGGUCUACAUGGUAUAGAUUCCCAAGUUGUACUCUGGAGAUUUAUUAUUAUUAUUGAAUUUUAUUAGAGAUUAUGUCAUCAGAGGUUUUGUUUUUUAAUUAUUAAUUUAGUUUUCCCUUCCA